rnacentral:misc_RNA from 1 species
GAUGAAGAACGUAGCGAAAUGCGAUAAGUAAUGUGAAUUGCAGAAUUCAGUGAAUCAUCGAAUCUUUGAACGCGCAUUGCGUCCGCCAGUAUUCUGGCGGGCAUGCCUGUUCGAGCGUCAUUUCAACCAUCAAGCCCUGCUUGUGUUGGGGUCCUGCGGCUGCCCGCAGGCCCUGAAAACCAGUGGCGGGCUCGCUAGUCACACCGAGCGCAGUAAUACAUCUCGCUUUGGUCGUGCGGCGGGUUCUUGCCGUUAAACACCCCCCUUUCCAAAGGUUGACCUCGGAUCAGGUAGGAAUACCCGCUGAACUUAAGCAUAUCAAUAAGCGGAGGA